GUGAGUAACACGUGGGCAACCUGCCUGUAAGACUGGGAUAACCCCGGGAAACCGGGGCUAAUACCGGAUAAUACUUUCUUUUGCAUAAAGGAAAGUUGAAAGGCGGCUUCGGCUGUCACUUACAGAUGGGCCCGCGGCGCAUUAGCUAGUUGGUGAGGUAACGGCUCACCAAGGCGACGAUGCGUAGCCGACCUGAGAGGGUGAUCGGCCACACUGGGACUGAGACACGGCCCAGACUCCUACGGGAGGCAGCAGUAGGGAAUCUUCCGCAAUGGACGAAAGUCUGACGGAGCAACGCCGCGUGAGUGAUGAAGGUUUUCGGAUCGUAAAACUCUGUUGUUAGGGAAGAACAAGUUGGGUAGUAACUGACCCAACCUUGACGGUACCUAACCAGAAAGCCACGGCUAACUACGUGCCAGCAGCCGCGGUAAUACGUAGGUGGCAAGCGUUGUCCGGAAUUAUUGGGCGUAAAGCGCUCGCAGGCGGUCCUUUAAGUCUGAUGUGAAAUCUCGCGGCUCAACCGCGAACGGUCAUUGGAAACUGGAGGACUUGAGUACAGAAGAGGAGAGUGGAAUUCCACGUGUAGCGGUGAAAUGCGUA
rnacentral:rRNA from 1 species